AUCCUAAGUAUUUUAUUGAUCAGGCGGCACCCAGAUUUGAACUGGGGGUAAAGGAUUUGCAGUCCCCUGCCUUACCACUUGGCCAUGCCGCCAAAAAAUCCGAUCUAAAAUCGAGAAAAGAGCAAGUAUUCAUUCACAUUUUUUUACUAAUUACUAAAACCUUUUUUUCUUUUAUCUUGAAUCUAAUUCUACUUACUUUUUUAGAAUCUUUUUCAAAAAAUAGAUUUCUGCUUUUUUGGAUCCAGUUUCGCUUAUUCUCCUCGAUGGAUUCUAUCUUAAAACACACAUUGCUAACACUAGAAAACUUCCCGCUUCUUUCUAUUCUAUUGAGAUGACAAAGAAGAAAAGAAGAAAAAGUGGAUUUCCAGUCGCAGGCUGCAAAAUUCAGAACAAAUUAGAACCAUUAACUAUAAUAUAAUAAAAUUAGAAUAUAAUAAUAUAAUUAACUAUAAUAUAAUAAAAUAAAACUAUAAUAUAAUAAUAUAAUAAAUAUAAUAUUAUUAUUAUUAUUUUUUGAAUUGCAGUAGUGAACGACUCUUAAAUCGGUAUUCCCCCCCAUUAUUUUGAAUGGCAUAAUAAAAUAGAAUAAGAAUAAAUGUUUCCCUAAUCUGUAUAUAGGGAAACUCCAGGUCCGAACAGCAUUAUUAUCUACAGAUCCCCCUUAUGUACAUAUUCCUAUGGGGAAUCGUGCUUUAAUUUUUCAUUGUAUUAAAUAUCUUGAAUAAAAAAAGAGGGAAUUUGCUCUGAUAUAGAUUAUAGCCAGGCCUUCUUGGCCCACCUAAGUGCAAUUACGAUAAAAGAAAGGAUAUGUAGAUAGGUGGAUAACUAGAUUGGCAAGUACUUAAAAAAUAAAGUACUUUAUCUUUAUUUUAGGAUUCUACAACGAAAUCCUUUAUUUUCUAGCAAUUCUACUACUACGAAACAAAAAAGACCUUCAAUUCUUUUUGAAAAAGAAACUAAGCCUGCUAUUCUAAAUCGAACUAAAGUCAAACUUUCUAGUGCUUAUAAAUUCUUAUGGCUUUAUCCCUUUCAUAGAAAGGAGAUAAAACGAGAAAUCUUUGCUAUCCAAUCUUUUUAGAAUAUCAUAAAGUUUCAGUGGCAGAAUUUUUUUCUAGGACUGUUUUAUCAAUUCAUUUUUAUUCCAUUUCAACCCCUGCUAAAUUCGAACUUUCGUCGAAAUCGUCUCUAUUCAUAUGUAUGAAAUACAUAUAUGAAAUACGUAUGUGGAGUUCCCUAGAAUUUCAUGUGAUUCAGUAAACAGAAUAUGGAUUCCAUGAUUGCUAGAUUGAUCCGUAGGGAUUGAUGAAGAGUGAGCUGAUAAUGGAAUUUUUCUUCUAUAAAUAGGAAACUUAAGAUUCAAAUGCUCCGGAAUGGAAAUGAGGGAAUGUCCACAAUACCCGGAUUUAGUCAGAUCCAAUUCGAGGGGAUUUGUAGAUUCAUUAAUCAAGGCUUGGCGGAAGAACUUGAGAAGUUUCCCACAAUUAAAGAUCCAGAUCACGAAAUUGCAUUUCAAUUAUUUGCGAAAGGAUAUCAAUUGCUAGAACCCUCGAUAAAAGAAAGGAAUGCUGUGUAUGAAUCACUCACCUAUUCUUCCGAAUUAUAUGUAUCCGCGAGAUUAAUUUUGGUUUCGAUGUGCAAAAGGAAACCAUUUCUAUUGGAAACAUUCCUAUAAUGAAUUCCUUAGGAACCUUUAUAAUAAAUGGAAUAUACCGAAUUGUGAUCAAUCAAAUAUUGCUAAGUCCUGGUAUUUACUACCGCUCGGAAUUAGACCAUAAGGGAAUUUCUAUAUAUACCGGGACUAUAAUAUCAGAUUGGGGAGGAAGGUCGGAAUUAGCAAUUGAUAAAAAGAAAGGAUAUGGGCUCGCGUGAGUAGAAAACAAAAGAUAUCUAUUUUAGUUCUAUCAUCAGCUAUGGGUUCGAAUCUAAGAGAAAUUUUAGAUAAUGUUUCCUACCCCGAAAUUUUCUUGUCUUUCCCGAAUGCUAAGGAGAAGAAGAGGAUUGAGUCAAAAGAAAAAGCUAUUUUGGAGUUUUAUCAACAAUUUGCUUGUGUAGGUGGGGACCUGGUAUUUUCGGAGUCCUUAUGCGAGGAAUUACAAAAGAAAUUUUUUCAACAAAAAUGUGAAUUAGGAAGAGUUGGUCGACGAAAUAUGAAUCGGAGACUGAAUCUUGAUAUCCCUCAGAACAAUACAUUCUUGUUACCACGAGAUGUAUUGGCCGCUACGGAUCAUUUGAUUGGAAUGAAAUUUGGAACGGGUAUACUUGACGAUGACGAUAUGAAUCACUUGAAAAAUAAACGUAUUCGUUCGGUUGCAGAUCUGUUACAAGAUCAAUUCGGACUGGCUCUUGGCCAUUUACAACAUGCGGUUCAAAAAACUAUCCGUAGAGUAUUCAUACGUCAAUCGAAACCGACUCCACAAACUUUGCACCCUUUGAUGAGAGAUAUGAGCAAGAGGCUUCAAGAAAACUUGUGUUUUCGGAAUUAUAUGAAGCCAGUAAACAAACAAAAAAUCCAUGGGUAUUUGAACCCGAGUACCCGGGAAAAAGCAGAAUAUUUGAUGGAAGAACAGGAGAUCCCUUCGAACAGCCUGUUCUAAUAGGGAAGUCCUAUAUCUUAAAAUUAAUUCAUCAAGUUGAUGAGAAAUUCAUGGACGUUCUACUGGGCCCCUACUCACUUGUUACCCAACAACCCGUUAGAGGAAGAGCCAAGCAAGGGGGACAACGAAUAGGAGAAAUGGAAGUUUGGGCUUUAGAAGGAUUUGGUGUUGCUCAUAUUUUACAAGAGAUACUUACUUAUAAAUCUGAUCAUCUUAUAGCUCGCCAAGAAAUACUUAAUGCUACGAUCUGGGGAAAAAGAGUGCCUAAUCACGAGGAUCCGCCAGAAUCUUUUCGAGUGCUCGUUCGAGAACUACGAUCUUUGGCUCUAGAACUGAACCAUUUCCUUGUAUCUGAGAAGAACUUCCAGGUUAAUAGGGAGGAUGUUUGAUCGGAAUAAAUAUAAAUUUUUUUCUUAUUUCUAUUUUAUGAUUGACCAAUAUAAACAUAAACAACUUCAAAUUGGACUCGUUUCCCCUCAACAAAUAAAGGCUUGGGCUAAAAAAAUCCUACCUAAUGGGGAAGUCGUUGGCGAAGUCACAAGGCCCUCCACUUUUCAUUAUAAAACCGAUAAACCAGAAAAAGAUGGAUUGUUUUGCGAAAGAAUCUUUGGACCCAUAAAAGCGGAAUUUGUGCUUGUGGAAACUCUCGAGCGAGCGUAGCUGAAAACGAAGACGAAAGAUUUUGCCAAAAAUGCGGGUUAGAAUUUGUUGAUUCUCGGAUACGAAGAUAUCAAAUGGGAUACAUCAAACUAGCAUGUCCAGUGACUCAUGUGUGGUAUUUGAAAGGUCUUCCUAGUUUAUAUUGCGAAUCUUUUAGAUAAACCCCUUAAGAAAUUGGAGGGCCUAGUAUAUGGUGAUUUCUCUUUUGCUAGGCCCAGCGCUAAAAAACCUACUUUCUUACGAUUACGGGGUUUAUUCGAAGAUGAAAUUUCAUCCUGUAACCACAGUAUUUCUCCCUUUUUUUCUACCCCAGGCUUUGCAACAUUUCGAAAUCGGGAAAUUGCAACAGGAGCAGGCGCUAUUAGAGAACAAUUAGCAGAUUUAGAUUUGCGAAUUAUUAUAGAGAAUUCUUUGGUUGAAUGGAAGGAAUUAGAAGACGAGGGGUAUAGUGGAGAUGAAUGGGAAGAUAGAAAAAGACGAAUAAGAAAGUUUUUUUGAUUAGACGCAUGCAAUUGGCGAAACAUUUUAUUCAAACAAAUGUAGAACCAGAAUGGAUGGUUUUGUGCUUAUUACCGGUUCUUCCUCCCGAAUUGAGACCCAUUGUUUAUAGAUCUGGGGAUAAAGUAGUGACUUCAGAUAUUAAUGAACUUUAUAAGAGAGUUAUCCGUCGGAACAACAACCUUGCCUAUCUAUUAAAAAGAAGUGAAUUAGCACCAGCAGAUUUAGUAAUGUGCCAGGAAAAAUUGGUACAAGAAGCCGUGGAUACACUUCUUGAUAGUGGGUCCCGCGGGCAACCGACGAGGGAUGGUCACAAUAAAGUAUACAAAUCACUUUCAGAUGUAAUUGAGGGUAAAGAGGGGAGGUUUCGCGAGACUCUGCUUGGGAAACGGGUCGAUUACUCGAGGCGUUCUGUCAUUGUUGUGGGUCCUUCGCUUUCAUUACAUCAAUGUGGAUUACCUCUAGAGAUAGCAAUAAAGCUUUUUCAGCUAUUUGUAAUUCGCGAUUUAAUCACGAAACGUGCUACUUCUAAUGUCAGGAUUGCUAAAAGGAAAAUUUGGGAAAAGGAACCCAUUGUAUGGGAAAUACUUCAAGAAGUUAUGCGGGGACAUCCUGUACUGUUGACAGAGCACCUACCCUGCAUAGAUUAGGCAUACAGGCCUUCCACCCACUUUAGUAGAGGGACGUACUAUUUGUUUACAUCCAUUAGUGUGUAAGGGUUUCAAUGCGGACUUUGAUGGGGAUCAAAUGGCUGUUCACCUACCUUUAUCCUUGGAAGCUCAGGGCGGAAGCCCGUUUACUUAUGUUUUCUCAUAUGAAUCUCCUGUCUCCCGCUAUUGGAGAUCCUAUUUGCGUGCCAACCCAAGACAUGCUUAUCGGACUUUAUGUAUUAACGAUUGGAAACCGUCUAGGUAUUUGUGCAAAUAGAUAUAAUAGUUGCGGAAACUCUCCAAAUAAAAAAGUAAACUACAAUAAUAACAUUAUUAUAAGUAUACGAAAGAUAAAGAACCCCAUUUUCUAGUUCCUAUGAUGCACUGGGAGCUUAUAGACAAAAACGAAUCGGUUUAAACAGUCCCUUGUGGCUCCGAUGGAAACUAGAUCAACGCAUCGUUGGGUCAAGAGAAGUUCCGAUUGAAGUUCAAUAUGAAUCUUUUGGGACUUAUCAUGAGAUUUAUGCCCACUAUCUAGUAGUGGGAAAUAGAAAAAAA